rnacentral:rRNA from 1 species
CGAGAAUUCUGGUUGAUCCUGCCAGAGGCCACUGCUAUCGGGGUUCGAUUAAGCCAUGCGAGUCGAGAGGUGCAAGACCUCGGCGCACUGCUCAGUAACACGUGGAUAACCUACCCUCAGGAGGGGGAUAACCCCGGGAAACUGGGGAUAAUACCCCAUAGGCCAGGGACGCUGGAAUGCCUCCUGGUCGAAAGGUCCGCCGCCUGAGGAUGGGUCUGCGGCCGAUUAGGUUGUUGUUGGGGUAACGGCCCAACAAGCCUUUGAUCGGUACGGGUUGUGAGAGCAAGAGCCCGGAGAUGGAUUCUGAGACACAAAUCCAGGCCCUACGGGGCGCAGCAGGCGCGAAAACUUUACAAUGCGAGAAAUCGUGAUAAGGGAACCCCGAGUGCCCGUAAAUUCGGGCUGUCCGCCAGUGUAAAUAACUGGUGAAGAAAGGGCCGGGCAAGACCGGUGCCAGCCGCCGCGGUAAUACCGGCGGCUCGAGUGGUGGCCACUAUUACUGGGCUUAAAGCGUCCGUAGCUGGAUUGUUAAGUCUCUUGGGAAAUCCACCGGCUCAACCGAUGGGCGUUCAGGAGAAACUGGCAAUCUAGGGACCGGGAGAGGUGAGAGGUACUCCAGGGGUAGGAGUGAAAUCCUGUAAUCCUUGGGGGACCACCUGUGGCGAAGGCGUCUCACUAGAACGGCUCCGACAGUGAGGGACGAAAGCUGGGGGAGCAAACCGGAUUAGAUACCCGGGUAGUCCCAGCUGUAAACGAUGCGCGUUAGGUGUAUCGGUGACCACGAGUCAUCGAGGUGCCGAAGGGAAACCGUGAAACGUGCCGCCUGGGAAGUACGGUCGCAAGGCUGAAACUUAAAGGAAUUGGCGGGGGAGCACCACAACGGGGGGAGCCUGCGGGUUAAUUGGACUCAACGCCGGGAAGCUCAC